rnacentral:rRNA from 1 species
AUAUCAAUAAGCGGAGGAAAAGAAACCAACAGGGAUUGCCUCAGUACACGGCGAGUGAAGCGGCAACAGCUCAAAUUUGAAAUCUGGCUCCGGCGGAGUCCGAGUUGUAAUUUGUAGAGGAUGCUUCGGGCAAGAUUGCGGUUUAAGUCCCUUGGAACANGGUGUCAGAGAGGGUGAGAAUCCCGUCUUUAACUGNGUGNUGNGUCCNUGUGAAGCUCCUUCGACGAGUCGGGUUGUUUGGGAAUGCAGCUCAAAAUGGGUGGUAAAUUUCAUCUAAAGCUAAAUACCGGCCAGAGACCGAUAGCGCACAAGUAGAGUGAUCGAAAGAUGAAAAGUACUUUGAAAAGAGAGUUAAACAGCAUGUGAAAUUGUUGAAAGGGAAGCGCUUGCAACCAGACUUGCGGGCAGCAGUUCAGCCGUUAUUCUUAACGGUGCAUUCUGCUGUUUCCAGGCCAGCAUCGGUUUGGGUAGUCAGUUAAAGGCCCGGGGAAUGUAUCUGCCCUUCGGGACAGACUUAUAGCCCUAGGUGACAUCUGGCUUACCGGGACCGAGGAACGCGCUUCGGCACGGAUGCUGGCGUAAUGGUUGUAAGCGGCCCGUCUUGAAACACGGACCAAGGAGUCUAACAUCUAUGCGAGUGUUUGGGUGUGAAACCCCUGCGCGGAAUGAAAGUGAACGGAGGUAGGAGCCUUUGGGCGCACUAUCGACCGAUCCUGAUGUCUUCGGAUGGAUUUGAGUAAGAGCAUAGCUGUUGGGACCCGAAAGAUGGUGAACUAUGCCUAAAUAGGGUGAAGCCAGAGGAAACUCUGGUGGAGGCUCGCAGCGGUUCUGACGUGCAAAUCGAUCGUCGAAUUUGGGCAUAGGUAAAAAUCCACCCUCUUCUUCUAUUGGGAAUAGUAUGCUAACGUUUAAUUAGGGGCGAAAGACUAAUCGAACCAUCACCAGGUGGCUCUCUAGGUGACUACAUAUAUCUGUAGAUAUGUCAAGACCUUUUUUUCACAGUCUGACUAUUGUGUUAGGCGACGUUUCUAGUCUGCCGGGGAGUCCUUUAACAGACAAUCCGCAGUUGGCAUUUGUUGAUGCUAAUUCACAGACUAUACAGGGGCGGUCAGGAGCAACAAUAUGUGCUUCUUUUCAUUAUAUAGUCGGAGUAUAGGGAUAUGGGGUUCACCCUUGUAUGUACUAUAUCNGUCGNUGGUAGNUGGNNCNNGCCGAAGUUUCCCUCAGGAUAGCAGNAACGUUUUCAGUUUUAUGAGGUAAAGCAAUGAUUAGCGGCCUUGGGGAAGUAACUUCCUUAACCGAUUCUCAAACUUUAAAUAUGUAAGAAGUCCUUGUUACUUAAUUGAACGUGGACAUUUGAAUGUACCGUUACUAGUGGGCCAUUUUUGGUAAGCAGAACUGGCGAUGCGGGAUGAACCGAACGCGAGGUUAAGGUGCCGGAAUGCACGCUCAUCAGACCCCACAAAAGGUGUUAGUUCAUCCAGACAGCCUGACGGUGGCCAUGGAAGUCGGAAUCCGCUUAGAAGUGUGUAAAAACUUACAGGCCGAAUGAACUAGCCCUGAAAAUGGAUGGCGCUCAAGCGUGCUACCCAUACCUCGCCGUUAAAGUUUUAAUGAUGCUUUAACGAGUAGGCAGGCGUGGAGGUUUGUGACGAAGCCUUGGGGGUGACCCCGGGUCGAACAACCUCUAGUG